CUCCCGCGCGGCGCGCGCUCUGCCGGCUGGUGCGGCUGCGGGCGGAGCAGGGAUGCGCCCCGGCUGCGGGAGCGCGGUGCGGAGCGGCGGCAGCAGCCCGGGUGGCCGAGGGCGGCGAGUGCGGCCGGUUUUUCAAUAUAGAGUUCACACUGGUUUCAUAUGUGAUGAAGAGACAAGCAAACAGUGGAGAACAGCAGUAGAUACGAUGCAGAUAAGCAAGAAAGAAAAAUUAAGGAUGAAAAGACGGAGCCGUUUCUAAAAGAUCAGAUGGUACACUUGGAAAUAAUACCAUAAAGGCUCAUUAUUUUCAACAACUAUUGAUUACACCCUGGAGAUUUUCACCAAUUCCACUUGAUACUGCUUUUAAAAUGUUCUUUGGCCUGUUAAUGAUUAAAGAUUUGGAUUUCACUCUUUACACUAAAUGUAAGUGUUUAAUAGGAAAAGAAAACCUAAGAAAGCACUCCUGCCUUACAAUCCAAAAUGCAACAUAAAAUAUAAAGGCUGAAAUAAAUUUAACGAAGUUCUGCAUAGCACAAAUACAAAAGCUACUACUAAAACCCAUUUGUUCUACAGGAAACUAUAAGCAAAGGCUAUUUCCAUUAUUAUCCCAUCUUUAAGGCGGUGUGGUACAUGAGGUCAGUCGAAGGUCAAGCAGGGAGGUUGCUGUUACUCUAUAAAAGGAUUCACACUUAUAAUUUUAAGUACCUCAGUGUUCAUGGUAUCCUUGAUUUCCACACUAACGUGGUACCUUGAAUACCUACAUGCCUUAAAUACUUUGGUUUAUGCAUUUACCACUUCAUUAUUGGCAUCAUAGUAAAAGGGAAUAGUUACAUUUUCUUUGUACUACAAAGCUCUUUGAUACUGAAUUUAUACAGAAUAAAAUACUCAAUACUAGCAUACAGAAUACAGUGCACAGGAAGACACAUUUAAACACACAACAUUGAUGUAGGUGGUAGCAACUCUACUUCUAAUUUCUUUUUUUUUUAAUGCCAUACGUUAUUUUACUAAAAAUUCAGUAGCACAACUGCCUGAAAGAUUUUUUUUUUAGUUAAAAGCAAUAAACUACACGAUCUCUUGAGAUACAGAAGUGGUUAUGUUAUAAGGAAACUUGAAAAUAUGUGGUAAGAAUUUAGUUUGGAAAUGUUUUUCCAAGUUGAAAAAUAGAAACAAAUUAUAGUAAUAGCACUUCGUAGAAAUUUCAUAUUGCGAAUCCAUUAUCAUGAUGUAGGUGACUGAAAAAUGAGGAUUGCAAUUCUUUUAAUCUUUCUGUGUAUUUCAAUACAUAAAAGUCAAUUCUUCCUUUCCGGGGCAGAGUUUGAAAUACUUAAAAACAAAAGCAAAGAACUAAACUGCUGCUACUUACCCUGCAGAAAAAAAAAUAAGUCUGUAUGUCUCCUGUGGUCUUUAAAAAGCAUUAAUAAUUAAGCAUUUGCAUAAAGAUAAAGUAAGAAAACACAUGCAAAAACAUUUAUCUUCUAGACAUCUGCAUGCUACUUAUCUCAAUCUCUUCCAUAAAUAGAAACUAAUUAUGGAGAGACUGAAACCAAGACAAUGUCCUAGAAAGAGGCAACCUUUUUUAGAUAUACCCAAAAUGGUGUGAGUAAAUCUGUAUCAUACAGAUUCAUAUUUAACACAUAGAUCUUUUUGGUCUAAUCUUCCUCCUUUUACAAGAAACAGUAAAACUUCUACUAAUUCCAUUAAAAGCAGAAUGAGCCUUGAUGUCUUUCUCUAGUAAAAUUACCUGCCUUGCAGAGUACCAGUAUUAACUGUGAAUGGUAGAAUUGUAAAGGCUCUAGGUGAAAAAAAGCAUUCAAACCUCAAAAUUAAUGCCUGAGCUCUGACUCUUAAGUGAAGACAGAGAUCAGCAAGUCAGCUGCUGCUCAUCUUGCUUUCUUAUUAAUAAUUGAAAAACCAGAGGCUUUGGGAGUACUUGCCAACCUAAUCCAUUCCUUCCCAGGAAUUUUAUAUAAUGUUUCUUUUAAUAUAA